AUGAUUCCCUUUCUUCCGUGCCUCCAAUGGAGGCUACCAGCGGCAGGAACGCCACGAGACAUCCUGGCAUUGCAGAUGCAGAGCUUUCUAGGGGCGGCCUGUUUGUUUCCGGCCGCGCCGAUGUCAACUACCUUGAUCCACUGUGACUGUCCCCAACCACGCUCAACUCCCCAUUUUUGUACUUGGGAUGAUUUGGUGCAAGGUAUAGAGGAGCAUGAUCAAGCAUGGCUAAAUAUAUUUGCAAGUAGAGAAGUUCUUGAGUCACACACUAAAGGAAGAGAGAUAAGCUUUUUCUCUUUGUUGUAUCAAAUCUAUUUGGAAGUGCUAAUUGAUGAAAUGUAUGUAGCAUUAGUAAUAGUUUUUUCAUGA
rnacentral:rRNA from 1 species